rnacentral:lncRNA from 1 species
UUAACCCCACAAUCUUAGUAAUUUGUCAGAGCACCUACUUAGACAAAUUUUAGAGAGGAAUACAACUCUAAUCAUACUUUCUAACCACCUCUUAAAAUUGGGAGACCUCUAGGGCCCCGUUUGGUCCACGAAAAAAUGGUCAUGAAAAAUGUUUAUUUAAUAUUAACUCAUUUUCCCAAACUUUCCCAUGAGGAGGGAAAACAAAACCCAAGUUUAGAGGAUGGCUGCACUUUCCCUCCUACUUUCUCAGGGGCUAAGCAACGAUUUUCCAUGUCUGGACUUACUAAACAUGGGAAAGAAAUUGAUUUCUCAUCCCCAAGUCUCUUUUCCUAUGAACCAAAUGGGGCCUAGGAGCUCCUAAAUCUGAGGAGAGAUAAAGGACUCCUAGUGGCUACCUAUAAUUUAAUGCCACUUUGUUUUAUGAAUAUUUUAAUAUUUUAAUUCAUAGUAAUUUUUUUUAUUUUUUAUUUUUAGAUAUGG